AUUGCUUCUCAGCAUUUCGGCUAAGAUCAAGUGUAUUAUCUGUUUUUAUCAGUUUAAUAUCUGAUGUAUCCUCUAUCUGAGGAUAAUACAUUAAAUGGAUUUUUGGAGCAGGGAGAUGGAAUAGGAACUUGCUCCAUCCACUCCACGCAUCCACCUGGUAUUACACUGUUCCACUCCAUGGAACAAAAUUU